UGAAACGGAUCUUUCACGAUGUAAAUGGACAAGCGAAAAACUGACCUGCCUUCCAGAUCACCCCGUCCCCCCCCUCAGCCCUGGAAUGUGUAUUUAAAACAAAUUCUAAGCAUGUUAAACAGCCCAUCCCUAAUUCCAGAUGACCAAGCAAACCAUGAAAUGAAAGUCACACAGAUUAAACCUGGAACACUGUGGGAGGUCACCUCACAAGAAGUGACCAUCAGGAGGUCUGAAUCACUGAGUGCCUUUUGGGAGGCUGGCUAACACUGACAUUGAGCAAAUAGCUGAAAGAGGCCAUUUGAAGAGUUGAAUUCUGGAAAAGAUUUGAAAACUGGGCAUACCAACCCUGACCAGCUAAUUGCCAAUGAAGAAGAAUGAAUUACUCUGCAAUUAUAUUAAAGGUGAAAGAGGUCCCAGGGAACAAUUCUAACAAAAAAUGGACUGACGUGGGAUAAAAGCUUGAUUAGUGACAGCCAUGACUAUUAAGAUGUUGAGCUUGAGUUCAAAGGAAGGACAAGAGCAACUUUAUGUUUGACAAUCUUUAGACAAGGUCACCACCCUCCACCAAGUGUAUGCCAACUUAUUCAGGUAUGACAUUCCCUUUCAUACAUCCUUUCUUCACCCACCAAAGUUUAAAAAAUGCUAUCAGAUUUGUUUACCAUGACUUGUAGAGGAUUUAUCCUUAAGCUUUUGCAUCCAAGUCAUUAGUUCGGUCAUUGUCAAGUAACAGAUAAAUUGAUGACAGGGCAGCAUAGAUAGACUCAUUCUCCUGGAGUUGUAGGUGGCUAGUCACCUUAU